rnacentral:rRNA from 1 species
UCGAGAAUUUUUCACAAUGGGCGCAAGCCUGAUGGAGCGACGCCGCGUGGGGGAUGAAUGGCUUCGGCCCGUAAACCCCUGUCAUUUGCGAUCAAACCUCGUUAUUUAAAAGAUGACGAGCUGAUGGUAGCGAAAGAGGAAGGGACGGCUAACUCUGUGCCAGCAGCCGCGGUAAUACAGAGGUCCCAAGCGUUGUUCGGAUUCACUGGGCGUAAAGGGUGCGUAGGUGGUGGGGUAAGUCGGAUGUGAAAGCUCGGAGCUCAACUCCGAAAUGGCAUUGGAAACUGCCCUGCUAGAGGAUUGGAGGGGGGACUGGAAUACUUGGUGUAGCAGUGAAAUGCGUAGAUAUCAAGUGGAACACCAGUGGCGAAGGCGAGUCCCUGGACAACUCCUGACACUGAGGCACGAAAGCUAGGGGAGCAAACAGG